rnacentral:rRNA from 1 species
GAUGAACGCUGGCGGCGUGCCCAAUACAUGCAAGUCGAGCGAAGCGGGGACGGGUGAGUAACACGUGGAUAACCUCCUAUAAGCCUGGGAUACUUUCGGGAAACCGGAGCUAAACCGGAUACUUAUAGAUGGAUCCGCGCGGCAUUAGCUAGUUGCUAAGGUAACGGCUUACCAAGGCAACGAUGCAUAGCCGACCGGAGAGGAUGACCGGCCGAACUGUAACUGAGACACGGUCCAAAUUCCUGCGUGAGGCAGGAGUAAGGAAUCUUCCGCUAUGGACGAAAGCCUGACGGAGCAAUGCCGCGUGAGGGAUGAAGGUCUUCUGAUCGUAAAACUCUGUAAUAAGGGAAGUGGUACCUAAUCAGAAAGCCACGGCUAACAACGUGCCAGCAACCGCGGUAAUGC